rfam:Mycobacterium sp. TBL 1200985 NODE_28_length_59307_cov_45.566, whole genome shotgun sequence.
AGCUCGACGGGGUCGACCGAACGGGUCACCACCAGGUAAUCGCGCAACGCGAUGCCGUGUCGGUUCUC